rnacentral:tRNA from 1 species
GGAGAUUUGGCUCAGUGGUAGAGCUCUUGCCUAGCAAGUGCAAGGCCCUGGGUUCAGUCCCCAGCUCCG